GAGGGAGUGUUCUAACUUCAUUGAUUUACAUGCGGCUGUCCAGCUUUCCCAACACUACUUGCUGAAGAUACUGUCUUUUCUCCAUUUACAUUCUUGCCUCCUUGUGUCAAAGAUUAAAAAUUGACUAUAGGUCUGUGGUUUUAUUCUGGGCUUUC